CAUUCAGUACAAAGUACAGUUUACCGUAGGCCGUAGCAACAGUACAGUACUACAGUCAGUAAGGUGCAGACUGUAGAACUGGGAGUCUGGGACGGUGCACGCUGCAUGGUCUGAGUAUUUUAGUCAUGUCUGCGAACUUCAACGUACGUUUUGCAUCUAGAAAGUCCCACUCACGGUGAGUCGUCUCACCAUGUGUCCGAGUGCUGUCCGUAUGCAGAAAUGUCGUCUCGUACUAGAAAGUAGAAACUUGAUGGAAUGGCAUGCUUCACCUGGGAAUUAUUUCAAUCGUGAAAUAGCUAUUUUUGUCAAAGGAUUAAUGGGUUGGUGAAAUCUGAGCUUUAUGACAGCCCAAUGUCUACAGGGAUACGUUGCGGAUUUGACGCAUGCAGCUGGUGAUUGUGAUGUACUUGAGACAUCAAUGUUGGCUUUCGUCAGUGACGAGAAGAGUGACUUCUAUCUUCGUUCUGCUCCAUCCUUAUCUUAGUAACGCCCGCUCUUCUGGCUAUAAUGCUUUGUAUGCUUGUUCACAAUUUGUCUUACUCCACUCACAAGCUUGACCACUUCAGUCCGCUGUUACUCACCAUGGGAGAAUGCCUAGGUCUGAAAGCUUUCAAUGUAAACUUGUCAAUUUCAUGUGUUGUUGUGGAGUGCUGUACCUUUUGUGAAGACUCUUGCUGCAUGUUGGGAUGUUUUGUCACAUGGAGAAGUACUUUUACUUUAAAGAGGAAAUGCGCAAGGGCCAUGCAGCUUACUGUCCACUAUUUUGUUCAUAAUCAUUGUUUUCUACUGAAUUCCAAAGCUUAAACAAUCUUUUCCCCUAACUUUUGAAAGGUAGAUUAAUUCAAGGUGUUGAAUGAUGGUGUUUGCCGCUCGAUGCGUAGAUGGUGAAAGACGUGCUUGACUCGAAUAAGCUGCUGCUGUCCCUGGUGUCGGUGAAUCUACAGUUUCUUUGCUUACGUUCUUCACCUUCUUUGGACAUGUGGGUAAACCGUUUGGUAACAUCUGAGAUUCAUGGUAGUCCAACGUCCUCGUGGAUUUGCUGCGGAUUUGUCGCAGCCAGCUGUUCAACCAGAGAGAGAGAAAGUUUGUCGGGUCGUGGCAUGGAGAUUCUUGGGCCAAUAUUGGCCUUUGCCGACAUUAUCUUCCCAACUCUCGUCAUCUAGCUCUAAUGCCUGUAUGUUGCUACAUAACUUGUCGUACUCCACUGAGAAGUUAGAUCACUUCAGUCCGCUGUUACUCACCAUGGAAAAAUGCCCAGGUCCUUCAAUUUAAAAUUGGAAAAUCCAUUUGAUCAUGUUGCCUGUCUAUCAUGUGACCUGUCUUCCCAAAAUGUCGUCUCUUGCUGUAUGUUGCAUGUUUCGUCACAAGAUGAGAUUUUCUCGCCAUUCCACUAAGCUGAACCGAAAGUGAACCAGAUAAAAGCUAAGCAUGAUUUCCUUUUCUCCAUGUGGUCACUGCCGUUCCAUGAAGUUGUGUCUUUAAGAGGGUCUACUAAGUUGCAAGACAAAUGUGUUGGAAGGAAGGAAUCUGUAAAGUUCAGAGAGUAUUUUGGCUUCUGCAGGCAUUUGAGUUAACAAUUGGAAAAGAACCUAUCUAAUAAUCUGUCCACGUUGGCUUAAAAUGCAGUCCAUUUCGCAGACUUGUUGUCCAUGGUUAUCUGUACAGGUUGAUUAUUAUAUUCAGGUGAUUUUGUUGCAGCCAGCUGGUGAAAGUGAGUUCAAGUCAAAUUCAGCUGAAGCUUCUUGAAGCAGUUUACAUUACUGGUGUCAUCCUGAACUGGGGAAGUGUUACUUGAAUUGUAACAGCAACAAAGACAUCUUGAAAAGGAUAUGGUGACAAUGUGAAAAGUCAAAUGCUGCAUGCAUUUCAUGUUGGGGUUAUCCAAAAAUGUUGUAGCAAGACUCAUAGCAAAUCUUCAAGCAUAGAUGCCAGAAUAUCUCUAAAAACGGAGUUAAUGGAAAUGUAAGGUGGUGGUUUUGCAGUUUGGUUCCUGUUCAAGCUGUUGUUAUGCUGGAUCUUCCUGAAGUCCUUGAAGUAGCUGAUACUGGUUUUAUCAUACAGUUGAUUUGCCAGUGCAAUUCGAGUUGUCUACUAAAAUAUUUUCUAUUAUGUUUUCCAACGUGUAGUAUAUAAUUCAGACGAAGUGAUGGUAUUUUGUUUCUCAAUAUGGUAUGUUGUAGCUCAAAUUGGUGAAAGUUCUUUUGUGCGGUAGUUUUAAGCAACGUUCAGAUUAUUUACUUUAUACUUGGAACUUAAACCUGAAAUAACUUGUUUAAUUUUGUGAACUUGAUUGUUGUUUCAUCUAAUCAUGUACAAAACUCAUUAAAUAUACACGUUCAAAUCCGAAA
rnacentral:lncRNA from 1 species